rnacentral:rRNA from 1 species
GUGUAGCGGUGGAAUGCGCAGAUAUCAGGAGGAACACCGAUGGCGAAGGCAGUUCUCUGGGCCGUAACUGACGCUGAGGAGCGAAAGCGUGGGGAGCGAACAGGAUUAGAUACCCUGGUAGUCCACGCCGUAAACGUUGGGCGCUAGAUGUGGGGACCAUUCCACGGUUUCCGUGUCGCAGCUAACGCAUUAAGCGCCCCGCCUGGGGAGUACGGCCGCAAGGCUAAAACUCAAAGGAAUUGACGGGGGCCCRCACAARCGGCGGAGCAUGCGGAUUAAUUCGAUGCAACGCGAAGAACCUUACCAAGGCUUGACAUACACGAGAACGGGCCAGAAAUGGUCAACUCUUUGGACACUCGUGAACAGGUGGUGCAUGGUUGUCGUCAGCUCGUGUCGUGAGAUGUUGGGUUAAGUCCCGCAACGAGCGCAACCCUCGUUCUAUGUUGCCAGCGCGUAAUGGCGGGAACUCAUAGGAGACUGCCGGGGUCAACUCGGAGGAAGGUGGGGAUGACGUCAAAUCAUCAUGCCCCUUAUGUCUUGGGCUUCACGCAUGCUACAAUGGCCGGUACAAAGGGCUGCAAUACCGUAAGGUGGAGCGAAUCCCAAAAAGCCGGUCUCAGUUCGGAUUGAGGUCUGCAACUCGACCUCAUGAAGUCGGAGUCGCUAGUAAUCGCAGAUCAGCAACGCUGCGGUGAAUACGUUCCCGGGCCUUGUACACACCGA